AUUGAACGCUGGCGGCAGGCCUAACACAUGCAAGUCGAGCGGCAGCGGGAAGUAGUUUACUACUUUGCCGGCGAGCGGCGGACGGGUGAGUAAUGUCUGGGGAUCUGCCUGAUGGAGGGGGAUAACUACUGGAAACGGUAGCUAAUACCGCAUGACCUCGCAAGAGCAAAGUGGGGGACCUUAGGGCCUCACGCCAUCGGAUGAACCCAGAUGGGAUUAGCUAGUAUGUGGGGUAAUGGCUCACCUA
rnacentral:rRNA from 1 species